rnacentral:RNase_P_RNA from 1 species
UUGACAGGAAGAGCAAUCGCUCUCCCGACAUUGCCUGUCUCGACGAACGUCGGGGCGUCGGGGAGAGGAACCUCCGGACUCCAUAGGGAACUGUGCCAUUUGCAAAAAUGGGUAAUCGCGACAAAAGUCGCGGUUAACGGAAAGCGCAACAGAAAAUAUACCGCCCAGCACUCAACUAAAGUAGUGUUGGAAAAUUUUGUGGGUAGCGAAGAAUUCAAUACUUAAAUAACUUAAUAUAUAAGGACAUUAUUGAGUGCUGGGUAAGGGUGAAAAGGCGAGGUAAGAGCUCACCGCACACAGGGCGACCUGUAUGCUGGCAAGCCCCGCAGGGAGCAAGGACAAGCAUGCUCUAUGCCUUUCCCGGGCGUUUUGCUUUAUGCAAAACGGGAGCAGGGUGGUCCGCUUAGAGAAAUGAUUGCUAAAACAGAAUCCGGGGUACUAUCCUGUCUUUACG